GUACUUGCUUUGGCAGCACAUAUACUAAAAGCAGAAAGAUACAGAGUAGUUUAGCGUGGCCUCUGUGCAAGGAUGACAUACAAAUUUGCAAACGUUCUCUAUUUUU